rnacentral:rRNA from 1 species
AUUGAACGCUGGCGGCAUGCCUAACACAUGCAAGUCGAGCGAGCGGCGGACGGGUGAGUAAUGUAUGGGGACCUGCCUGAUGGAGGGGGAUAACUACUGGAAACGGUAGCUAAUACCGCAUACCAUCAGAUGAACCCAUAUUGGAUUAGCGGGUAGGUAAGGUAACGGCUAACCUAGGCGACGAGCCCUAGCUGGUCUGAGAGGAUGAUCAGCCACACGGGGACUGAGACACGGCCCAGACUCCGACGGGAGGCAGCAGUGGGGAAUAUUGGACAAUGGGGGCAAGCCUGAUGCAGCCAUGCCGCGGGUAUGAAGAAGGCCUUCGGGUUGUAAAGUACUUUCAGUCGGGAGGCGUUACCGGCAGAAGAAGCACCGGCUAACUCCGUGCCAGCCGCCGCGGUAAUAC